rnacentral:lncRNA from 1 species
UCGGGCCGCACAACCCAUCAAUACACCUCCGUCCGCUGCCACCGUCUGCCCUUGUGUCUGUCGUUUCGCGAAUAGUCACGUACUAAUGAUGCAGCUAAUGCCCCAGCCACCACUCACCGUGACAACCACCAGGGACUGACGCCGCUGGUUUGAUCCACCUUCUAUCCCACCGUCCGCUGCUACCACUAUUGUCCGCUGGUC